GAAAUAAUGUGUUCAAUGUACUUCUUAUCACAUUAUUGGAAGUUGUUGUAAACGAACCUCCUGCUUUUUCUUCAUUGUUGCUGCUGCUGCUGCUACUAAGUCGCUCCAGUCGUGUCUGACUCUGUGCGACCCCAUAGACGGCAGCCCACCAAGUUCCCCUGUCUCUGGGAUUCUCCAGGCAAGAACACUGAAGUGGGUUGCCAUUUCCUUCUCCAAUGCAUAAAAGUGAAAAGUGAAAGUGAAGUCUCUCAGUCAUGUCCGACUCUUAGCGGCCCCAUGCACUGCAGCCCACCAGGCUCCUCUGCCCAUGGGAUUUUCCAGGCAAGAGUGCUGGAGUGGGUUGCCAUUGCCUUCUCCGUUUCUUCAUUGUUUAGCGAACUUAAUUCUAAGGAAUUGCUCUCAGAACUUCUGCUACUAAAGAACAAGAGAAAUUGGUAGCAAAAUGGAGGCAGAAUUUCUGAUGUUUUGCUCUUGAUUUCACCAACUUAAGUGUAAUUCAAGAGUCCUCUUGUCAGAACGUCUUUUUCAGUGGUCUUCAGCCUUUAUUUGAAAAAUGUGAGAGAAAAGUGGAUACCGGAGAUAAUUCACCAUUGUUUGAAGACUCUUCAUUGGAACCAAAAUUGAUCUCAGAAAUGGGAUACCCUCUAUUAUCGAGAAACUUUUCAAAAACAGAAAUGUCUCACUCCUCAGACUGCUGAAAUGCCUCACUCCUCAGACUGCUGAAAUGCCUGUGACCUGAAGGCUGUCAAAUACAUGGAGUGUUUCACACAGAAAAACCUAAAGGAUGCAUUUGACAAAGCACUAUUGACUGCCUCAGAGACUGUGGAACUGAAGAAAAGCCAUAGGCAGAGGUGCCCACUGGGCUUUUGGACACAGCAUUUUCCCAACGUCACUGCCUGGUAUACUCUAUUUGAGGGAAAAUUAUCAACCUGUUAUUGAGUGCUGGUGGACACUGAGAAGCCAACUAAUAAUAAAUCUUAGCUGUGAGUACAGCUAUAUGCUGAACAUUGUCAUUCCUCCCAAUUAAGUCAUCAAACCUUGGAGGAGAGUCGUCUCAAG
ensembl:lncRNA